CUACGGGAGGCUCCAGUUACGAAAACUUUACAAUGCACGAAAGUGUGAUAAGGGAAUCCGAAGUGCUUACCUUUUGGGUAGGCUUUUCUCAAGCGUAAGUAACUUGAGGAAUAAGUGGUGGGAAAUACCGGUGCCAGCAGCCGCGGUAAUACCGGAGCCACAAGUGGGAAUCGUGAUUAUUGGGCCUAAAGCGUCCGUAGCCGGUUUAGUAAAUCUUUUGUGAAAUUGUUAAACUCAAUUUAGCAACGGGCAAGAGACACUGCUAGACUUGAAACCGUGAAGAGAUAGAAGUAUUCCUUGGGAAGCGGUAAAAUGUUUUAAUCCUUGGAAGACUACCAAUGGCGAAGGCAUCUAUCUAGAACGGCUUUGACGGUGAGGGACGAAGGCUAGGAGAACGAUCGGGAUUAGAUACCCCAGUAGUC
rnacentral:rRNA from 1 species